UACGUAGGGUGCAAGCGUUGUCCGGAAUUAUUGGGCGUAAAGAGCUCGUAGGCGGUUUGUCGCGUCUGCUGUGAAAACUCGGGGCUUAACCCUGGGCCUGCAGUGGGUACGGGCAGACUAGAGUGCGGUAGGGGAGACUGGAAUUCCUGGUGUAGCGGUGAAAUGCGCAGAUAUCAGGAGGAACACCGGUGGCGAAGGCGGUUCUCUGGGCCUGUACUGACGCUGAGGAACGAAAGCGUGGGGAGCGAACAGG
rnacentral:rRNA from 1 species